GGUAGGCAGCCUUAGAUUUGGUCGAUCUGGAGGUCGAUUCUCCGGCUGGCGGAUCUGACACUGUCGAAACGAGGUGCGAGCGGUGUAGGGUAGGCUAGUUUCGUCCUCGCCGGGUUGCGAUUUGGACGAGAUAUGUGGUCUAGGGUAGGCUCUAGGGUAAGUAGAAUUCGAGUUUCGUCGCCGACAGUUUUCUGUGGGUGUGUGGUAGGUACAGGGUAGGCAAAUCUCCCUCCGGCCAGUCCUUGUCUGGUGGUCGUGAGUCGAUUUUUUUGUUUUGCCAUACUAUUGAAUUUUGCGGAAAUUCAAAAGUGGCUCGGGAGUCCCGCCUGGCGUGCGUCCGGCUCGAACGUCGUCGGUGUACAUAUGAGAGGGAGUAAUCCGGCCCGGCCGGGGCCCAUCGCGAGCUGCCGGGUAGGUAAAAGUAAAAAAGUUGUUAAGAGGCGCGGUGUCGGCGUGCUUGUAUUUGCGGGAGAGAAUUAUCUGGAGGUGCUGGGUAGCCGGGAAGACUUGGACGGAUCUGGCCCGGGAAUGGGUCUGGGCCUGGAGUCUGGAGUGGUGUAGGGUAGGCGUAGAUAGAUGAGUGGUCUAGGGUAGAUACAGGGUAGCCAGAAGUCUAGUGUAUAGUAUGGGGGUGUAGGGUAGGUCUGGACACCGUUUUCCACUUCGCCCUUCCCUUUACUCGAGGGAGGACGAUCUUGGCUGGGACGGAGGUGUAGGGUAGGCUUAAUUAACGAUUACAUGAUCUGUGCCACUCUAGGGUAGGUGAAAAUCCCAUAUAUAUCUGAUCACAUUUGGUGAAGAGGUGGUUUGGCUGGUGAGAUGGACAAAAGUGCAUUGUAGAAUUAUAUGUGAUUUUGCAAAAGUGGGUGUGAAAUUGGGAAAUCGGGUUUCCCGCACAGAUAAGAGCACGUUUGAGGUGCCAUGAGAUGCACCUCUCCGAGACGACCUCAACGGUACCACCGAUGUGUUGGUCAGGCUCCUGUGCGGCCGUCCAGGGCGGGAUAAGUAGAGAGUGAGGUGGUGUAGGGUAGGUGGCCAGGUCCAAGGUAGGUUCGCCAAAUCCGUCAAUCCGGCUUGAAUCGAAGGUCAGGUCUAGGGUAGGCCGGAGUCGGGUCUAGGGUAGGCAACUCUCACCCUCGAAGUGGUCUACCCGGUAGCCAACUUCAAUCGCCUCUCACGGCCGCCACGGAUCUCGCAUGACGACGGGACUACCACCAUCGGAUUCGCCUUGGUCGAAAUAGCUGGUAUAUGCACUUUUGAAAAAAUGCGUGCAAAAUGGUUUUGUGAUUUGGUGGCCGUGAGUCGAUUUUUUUGUUUUCCCAUACCAAA
rnacentral:misc_RNA from 1 species